rnacentral:rRNA from 1 species
AUGGGGUCCCCUCUCUCUCCUGCCGCCGGCGCAGCGGCCGAAGGGAGAGGGGGCCAGCGCCCUGGCCGGUGGAGAUCUGAGGAGAUAGAUCGCCUCUCCCUAGGCGCGUGGUGGUGGCGGUGGCUUGGAAUUUUACGGUUCAUUUUCGGGUCGACGUACGCAGGAUUACUGGCUCACCGUGUUGCUAUGACUGGUAUGGCGUAUUUGUUUUGGCUGGACGGUGCAACCGUGCACCUAUAUAUGCACAGACACACAGAGAGAAAGAGGGAGGUAGAGUCGCAACUCGCAACCCCACUAGCACAACGCCAACGUAAGCUUGAUCGCCCGCCGAUGAAGAGCUUCCUGGUCUCUUCCGGCGACGAGGAAGAGGGGGCGGCGUUGGUGCCGCCUCAGGAGGACGGCGAGGCGCCGCGCAAGGUCGUCGUCGACGGCGGCAAAGCUGCUGAUCCGGCGGUUGAACGCUUGUCGCCGUCUUCGCCAUCCACAGCGACGACGACGAAGAAGCCGUGGUGGAAGGCCUCGCUGCUGUCGCCGACGAAGGGCGCCGUGGGGCUGGUGAUCGGCGGCCUCGUGGUCCUCACGCUGCUCGCCGGCGCCAGAUGGAUCGACCUCGACGCCGUCAAGUACACUCGUACUACUAUUCCUAUUCCAUACGCCGUCCGCGACGGGCAAACGGAAUCACGCGCUAGGAGUCAAAUCAGUACUCUCCAUGGAGAUCACUGGCUCGCUGGACCAAUGUGCGCGCACCAGUUCCUAUCAAAGGAUACUUUCACGAUGGACUUUGAACAACUGGCGCUGAGAAGGAUGGAGAAGCCCGAUCGCAAGAGUUUCUUUUCAAAUACUACGGCAAAAACAUGGACCAAACGUCAGACCGCCGCGUGCCCAUAG